rnacentral:rRNA from 1 species
AUUGAACGCUGGCGGCAUGCUUUACACAUGCAAGUCGAGGGGUAUUUGGACUUCGGUUCAGAGAGACCGGCAAACGGGUGCGGAACACGUACACAACCUACCUUCAACAAGGGGAUAACCCGUUGAAAGACGGACUAAUACCCUAUAACACAGGGGUCCCGCAUGGGAAUAUUUGUUAAAGGACAACCGGUUGAAGAUGGGCAUGCGUUCCAUUAGCUAGUUGGCGGGGUAAGGGCCCACCAAGGCAACGAUGGAUAGGGGAACUGAGAGGUUUAUCCCCCACACUGGUACUGAGACACGGACCAGACUCCUACGGGAGGCAGCAGUGAGGAAUAUUGGUCAAUGGACGCAAGUCUGAACCAGCCACGUCGCGUGAAGGAAGACGGCCCUACGGGUUGUAAACUUCUUUUGCAAGGGAAUAAAGUGGGCCACGUGUGGCCUUUUGCAAGUACCUUGCGAAUAAGGAUCGGCUAACUCCGUG